rnacentral:rRNA from 1 species
UACGUAGGGUGCAAGCGUUAAUCGGAAUUACUGGGCGUAAAGCGUGCGUAGGCGGUUUUGUAAGUCAGAUGUGAAAUCCCCGGGCUUAACCUGGGAACUGCGUUUGAAACUACAAGGCUAGAGUGUGACAGAGGGGGGUGGAAUUCCACGUGUAGCAGUGAAAUGCGUAGAGAUGUGGAGGAACACCGAUGGCGAAGGCAGCCCCCUGGGUUAACACUGACGCUGAGGAGCGAAAGCGUGGGGAGCGAACAGG